CCUACGGGUGGCAGCAGUGAGGAAUAUUGGUCAAUGGGCGCUACCCUGAACCAGCCAAGUAGCGUGAAGGAUGACUGCUCUAUGGGUUGUAAACUUCUUUUAUAUGGGAAUAAAGUGCAGUAUGUAUACUGUUUUGCACGUACCUUACGAAUACGGAUCGGCUAAUUCCGUGCCAGCAGCAGCGGUAAUACGGAGGAUUCAAGCGUUAUCCGGAUUUAUUGGGUUUAAAGGGUGCGUAGGCGGGUCGUUAAGUGAGACGUGAAAUCCCGGGGCUCAACUCGUGUACUGCAUCUGAUACUGUCGGGCUAGAGUUUAGUGGAGGUAGGCGGAAUGUAUGGUGUAGCGGUGAAAUGCAUAGAGAUCAUACAGAACACCGAUUGCGAAGGCGGCUUACCAGACUACAACUGACGUUGAGGCACGAAAGCGUGGGGAGCAAACAGGAUUAGAUACCCGUGUAGUC
rnacentral:rRNA from 1 species